UAUACAGAUGAGUAAGGUGUGGAUGAAUAGAAAUGGCAUAUUGCACAGAUGGAGGUAGCAAAGAGUGAUAAAUAGAUAUGUGCAUAGUGCAGGAUAUUGUCCAGUGAUGGCUCAUAUUGCAGAAUCAGCUAGCAGUGCUACAUUAUGAUGUUGUAUUAAAGAGUCUGACUGCUGCUGGAAUGAAGGACCUGUGGUAGUGCUCCUUCUUGCACUGAGGGUGCAGCAGUCUGCUGCUGAAGGAGCUGCUCAGGGAACUCCCAGUCUCAUGUAGGGGGUGAGAGGUGUUGCCCAUGAUUGAUGCCAGCCUGGUUAACAAUAGUAAUAAAAGUAGCA